rnacentral:tRNA from 1 species
GGAGAGGUGACCGAGUGGCCGAUGGUACUCGCUUGCUAAGCGAGCGUAGGGCAACCUACCGCGGGUUCGAAUCCCGCCCUCUCCG